rnacentral:ncRNA from 2 species
CAUGAAGAAGAUCGCGCCGGUGCCCAUUUGGGCUUGAAAGGGAAUGCGGUGCGGAUGGCUUGCCCAUCCAACUCCGCGGCUGUCCCUGCAACUGUAAGCGGCGAGCGCGAUGCACGGGGGACCUGCGCUUUCGAAAGGGGAAGGCGAAGGGACCAGCCACUGGGCGUCAGCCCGGGAAGGCUUGUGCAUCGCUGCCUUGACCCGCGAGCCAGGAGACCUGCCGGCGCAUGGUCGCUCUU